AUAUAUGGUUGUUCUUGUUCAACAGCACAUUUGGUCUCAACGAUGUUCCUAUCUGCUAGGGCAUUGCAGGAUAUUAAGUUUCCCUGGCUUUGAAAAGACGACAGCCCAACGGGAGUCCUAAAUCCUUGUUCCCACUUUUCAAAAUGGGGGCGGUGCUAGUUUACAGGUUCACAGAAGCUAUGUUACUGUGCACUGUCUAUCCGAGACUGCUAAAUAAUUAGCAAUGGCUGUUUCUAAUGAUUCCUCUUUUCAAGAAGAGCUGGAUGACGAAACAGGACUCUGGAGGACAAUACCGCUUGGAUACAAAGAAGUUGAUGACUCUCAAGAGAAGUUGUGAAAGGUCCCAUAACAACAAACACCCUUUGUAUCAAAGUGACUCUGAACACCUCACUGUACCACCCAAGCACACCAUAUGCAAGUAUUCCCUUUAUCAGGUUUCAGAUAGAUUUUUCGUCAAUCCAGAUGCCCAGAUAUUUGUAAGCGGGGACCAUCCCAAUGUUCCCUUGGAGAGUUCAUCAAUGAGCUUGACGCCUUGAUAAGUUCCUUUCCUGAGGAUGGCUCACCUCUCACAGUUCUGGGUGACUUUAACCUCCCCACGUCUACCUUUGACUCAUUCCUCUCUGCCUCCUUCUUUCCACUCCUCUCCUCUUUUGACCUCACCCUCUCACCUUCCCCCCCUACUCACAAGGCAGGCAAUACGCUUGACCUCAUCUUUACUAGGUGCUGUUCUUCCACUAAUCUCAUUGCAACUCCCCUCCAAAUCUCCGACCACUACCUUGUAUCCUUUUCCCUCUUGCUCUCAUCCAAC
rnacentral:lncRNA from 1 species